UUUGCUCAUUCUCAUUCACGCAUCUUCAUUCUCUCUUCUUCUUCUUUCUCUCUUACCCUCUAUCCUCACUGCUAUUUCUUUUUCUUUCUCUCUCUCUCUCUCACAACUCUCACACUCUCCGCUAUUGUCCUCCCGUUCGACUGUUGUUGUGGCAUUGAUUAUAUGAUGUUGUUGAAGAAAAUGACUUCAGCGGUCUUUCGGUGAUUUAUUGCAAGCAUUCUAGAUUGAUAUGCUUUAAGAAUAUCCAGUAUUAUUACCGAAGCCGGUGAACCGUUUCUGUAAUAGGUAAAAUUUAACUGGAGUGCCGAGAUUAGUGUCCGAGUUGUUUGAUUGCCUUUCUGAAUGAUGCUUUCUUUUGUAUUUUUCCUGAAACAUUUCUAACUCAGACUGAUGAUGAGGCGAUGAGUCGUGCAUCGCAAAGUGAAAAGCCUCCGAUUCCAUUACGCAUAUUCCAAAAAGAGUUUUGAGCGUGAGCUCGCUCGGAGCCGCUGUUGGUGCAGAUCUUGGUGGUAGUAGCAAAUAUUCAAGUGAGAACCUUGAAGACUGAAGUGGGGCAAGGUUCCAUGUGAACAGCAGUUGGACAUGGGUCAGUCGAUCCUAAGAAAACGGCGAAAGCUUGUUCGAAUUUGCGACAUGAAUUGUAAGACUGUGUGUUUAUUGUGUGUGUGCAGUUGUCGUAUGUUUUCGAAAGGGAAUCCGGUUGAUAUUCCGGAACCGAGUAACGGAGACAAAGAGUAGCGCUUUAAUCUCUCUGUGGGGUUGGCGUUCAACUCAAUCGCGCGGUAACGCAAGCGAACUCGGAAAAUGACCGUCGUGAGUUUCGAAAAGAGUUUUCUUUUCUUUUUAAGGGACGCAUUCCCUGGAACCGGGUUGUCCGGAGAUAGGGAUUCUGGUAUCCAUAAAACGCCGACUUUUUCACGGUGUUCGGAGCGCUCUCGUCGGUACGUGAAAAUCCGAGCGACGCCUGGUAAAUCUCGUACUUGGUCGUACUGAUAUCCGCAGCAGGUCUCCAAGGGGAAUAGCCUCUGGCCGAUAGAAUAAUGUAGGUAAGGGAAGUCGGCAAAACGGAUCCGUAACUUCGGAACAAGGAUUGGCUCUAAGGGCUGGGCCGAUCGGGCUGAGGUUUCAAGCGUGCAGUGUAUGCUUGGCUGAGUUGUGUUGAGGACUUGUUCACUUGCCGCCGUUUGUUCGGUUGGUCUAGUGUAUUCGAGUCUGAAGCAGAGCUGGCCGACAGACCGGCACGUGCAGAACCUGAGCUGCGCGGCUGUCCGUUUACGUGUACAGACCGUUUCGGUCGGCAUUCAACAGCCAACUUAGAACUGGCACGGACACAAGGAAUCUGACUGUAUAAUUAAAACAAAGCAUUGCGAUGGCCGAUGAUCGGUGAUGACGCAAUGUGAUCUCUGCCCAGUGCUCUGAAUGUCAAAGUGGAGGAAAUUCAAUCAAGCGCGGGUAAACGGCGGGAGUAACUAUGACUCUCUUAAGGUAGCCAAAUGCCUCGUCAUCUAAUUAGUGACGCGUAUGAAUGGAUCAACAAGAUUCCUUCUGUCCCUAUCUACUAUCUAGCGAAACCACAGCCAAGGGAACGGGCUUGGCGAAAUCAGCGGGGAAAGAAGACCCUGUUGAGCUUGACUCUAGUCUGACUCUGUGAAGAGACAUGAAAGGUGUAGCAUAGGUGGGAGAUUGUCAAAUUGCCAUCGUUCGCGCGGUGGUCCGGUGAUCGCCAAUGAAAUACCACUACUUUGAUCGUUUCUUUACUUAUUCGGUAAAGCGAAAAAAUUGUGGCCAAUUUGGCGGUGUUUAUGUCGCUGUUGGUCAUUGUUUUCAUGUUAGAUUGAAGCUUUGUUUACAGCCGUCGCUUUGUGUCGCCAUUUGACGCAUUGUUGUACUGGGUUAUCCCGGUGUGUGGUGUAGUCAGUAUGGAUGAUCGGCGAUAGGUUUGAAGUGAUUCGCUCCGGAAACAGUGUCAGACGGGGAGUUUGACUGGGGCGGUACAUCUGUUAAACGAUAACGCAGGUGUCCUAAGGUAAGCUCAGCGAGGACAGAAACCUCGCUUAGAGUAAACGGGCACAAGCUUACUUGAUUUUGAUUUCCAGUACGAAUAGAAACCGCGAAAGCGUGGCCUAUCGAUCCUUUUGAUUGUGUAGAUUUCAUGCAAGAGGUGUCAGAAAAGUUACCACAGGGAUAACUGGCUUGUGGCAGCCAAGCGUCCAUAGCGACGUUGCUUUUUGAUCCUUCGAUGUCGGCUCUUCCUAUCAUUGCGAAGCAGAAUUCGCCAAGCGUUGGAUUGUUCACCCACCAAUAGGGAACGUGAGCUGGGUUUAGACCGUCGUGAGACAGGUUAGUUUUACCCUACUGAUGACAAGUCGUUGCGAUAGUAAUCCUGCUCAGUACGAGAGGAACCGCGGGAUCAGACAUUUGGUUCAUGCGCUCGGCUGAAAGGCCGGUGGCGCGAAGCUAGCAUCUGCAAGAUUAUGACUGAACGCCUCUAAGUCAGAAUCUUUUCUAGUCAUUGGCAACGAUAAGUUGCGUCCAGACUCGAUGCGAGGAAACGAUUAGGCUUUGCUAUACGGCGAAGCCAUUAUCAGACCACGGUAGCAGGCAGUAUGGGAUUGUUACGAAAAAGCAAUUUUUUGAAGUCAGUUGAAUUCAAUCAAACUGCUAACAAUUCCACUGCGAAUGACUCCAUUCGAAUCAAU
rnacentral:rRNA from 1 species